rnacentral:lncRNA from 1 species
GCCCUUUUUAUUUUUUGAGACAGUGUCUCGCUAGGUUUCUCAGCCUGGAUUUGAACUUGCUGUCCUCCUGCCUUAGCCUCCUGAGCUGCUGUGACUACAGCCAUGUGCCACUGCACCCAGGUAUGUACUUAUUACUUUAUCCUUUAUGUAAGUGCAUUUCUAACUUAUUUAGACAAGAAUGAUUUAUCACUAAUUGAAGUAAUGAUCAAUAAAAAGGGCACCUGGGGGACUUCCCUUAGUUACCUCUUUAUCACAAUUCCUUCUCAGAGAAAAAAAAGAUUUUCAGUUCAACAGUCACAGCUUCCUUAGAAAAUGAGCUAUUGUAAAUCAGUCCCAAAUUCAAGAAGUUAACUCCAGAACUCAAGCAGCCUAUAAAAUGUACCCCAGAUCAAUGUGAUCUGAUCUUCUCACUGAAAUGAGAUCUGGUCAGUCUAACUGUCUCCUGCAUGUUACAUUUGAGCAAUAGUUUACAGGUAAGGGACCUAGGCUUGCAGGCUCUUUGGGUAGUCUCUCAGUCAAAGUUAGGGCUGCCAUCACAAAAUACUUCAGACUUAACUUAUUGCCUACAGUUCGGGAUGGUAGGAAGUCCAAGAUCAAGGCGGCAGCAACAGUUUAGGGUUUAGUGGGGGCUCUCUUUAUUUGUGUGUCUUCACGUGGCAGGAGAGGCAAGCAGGCUCUCCAGCCUCAUGGGCAGUAAUCUCAUUCAAAAGGGUGGAGCCUUCAUGACUUAAUCACCUCCCUGAUUCUGCACCUCUUAAUAUGAUCCCAUUAGGUAUUAGUUUUCAAUGUAGGAAAUCUGUGGAGGAUACAGCAUGCACACUACAGCAGUUGGGGACAAGAAGGAAGUGCAAACUUUAGCAAUAGGAGAAAGGAUGAUUGUGUAUAGCUUGUCCAGUGGUGUUAGUAUUAGAACAUUAGAUCUGGAGAAGGCAUCCUCUGCACUACUUAGAAGAAUUAAAGGAGGGGAGGGGGAACAGAGAGAAGACAACUGUGAGAGUUAAAGUUCCCCCAGGGACCUAACUUAGGGAUAUGUCAGUGCCUAAGCAAUUCAAGAGACUUAUUUGUGGUAACAACCAACAGAAUGUAAUAAUUUUUUAAUUGUCAUUUAAUCAUUGAUCAUUGAUUAGUCAACUCGGAAGAGAGGAGUAAAAGAGAAGAUGAGUUUCAGGGCAAAUCUAAUCAUUCUGAUUAUUGAGGAUGAGAACUGAGGAAACAAUGCUAACUUGGACAAGGAUGGGAAUGGAAGUGAGGGGGUGAAAAACUUAUAAUCAUGUGAGGUUUUCCACAGCAGCUGAGUAAAUCAUCUGGCGGCAAUGAUAAAGUAUGGCAAACAGCCUAGGGAUUUAGCCUCUCUAGUGGGUGGAGCUGAUAUUUCAUAAUUCAUUACUUGUACAAAUUUCAUUCUGGAAAUUUCCAAUAAAAUUCCACAGCCAGGAAAUGCUAUUGAAAGAUGAUCAAAAAUGCUCUUUGCCUCCGUAAAGGUUAUAAUGUGCGCAGUGAGGAAAGGCAAGGCUAAAUUUUGAAAGGUACAUCAUUACUCUAGUCCAAGAAAUAUUUACUUGAAGAAUAGCUAAAAAAAAAUGUAUAAAGGGCCAGGCACAGUGAUGCACGCCUGUAAUCCCAACAGCUUGGGAGGCUGAGGCAGGAGGAUCACAAAUUCAAAGCCAGCCUCAGCAACUGAGCGAGACCCUGUCUCAAAAUAAAAUAUACAUAAAUUAAGAAGUGUUAAUGUGGUUCAGUAGUUGAAUGCCGCAGGGUUCAAUCCCUGGUACAAAAAAAAAAAAUUGUACAAAGGUAGUUAGUUACAAAACAGAAGCUGAUAAUGAGUGAUCAAUUGAUUCAAUGGUAAUUGACAGAGACUUGAAUGAUUAUUGUCUCACUCAGUUUACUCUGAUAAAGAAGUUCCACAUCUUCUAGAACCUUGAUUGGGUGAGGUUGAAAAAGGAGUGCAUAUAAGUAGAUGAACAGAGUUUGGUUGUUGGUUGUUUCUGGAAAUCUCAGUGUCCUGUCUUCUCAAAUUGUUAUCAAUCAAGCAUUGCCAGCCACUAGGAGUUCACUUUUUUGCAGUUACUGUUCAUGUUGCAUGGCUUCUGAAAUUAUUGCUGCUUUUUUUUUGUACUGAGGCAAAAUUUGUCUCAGUAUAGCAAUGAACCCUCAACCCUUUUAGAUUCUCAGAUCAAUAUCAUGUCAGACAGCUCUAUGUCUACAUAAAAACUAUAUAGUAUGGUUUCCACACAUUGUCUUUUGCAAACAAAUCAUCCAGCUUUUAAGAGAAUUGUUUGUUUGGUGCAUGGUCCAAUUUUAAAAUCCCUUCCAUAUUUUCAUUGUCCUAUGUUGGCUUUUAUAGCUAGUUUCCUCCCAAGGCCAUCUUAAAUAUCUAGCACGUAGUUCUUGAUAGACCAUUUUAGGGGGACAUUACAGUAUGAAGAAGUAACAUCCAGGAGUUUUUUCUGGAGCAGACUUGAAUUUGAAUCCUUGCAGCAAAAUUGUGAUAACAAUAUUAAUCUCCAAAGAUUGUUAUGGUUGUUAGGAUUAGAUGAAUUAUUUUAUAUAAAGUUCCUUGCAUUGUGCUUGAUAUAGAAGAGUUACAGAUCAAACAAUGAUAAGGCUAAGGCUAUUAAAAUAUUAAAUAACUAUUUUUUCUUAUUAUUGGUCUGGUUAGAUGGCAAAUUCAGAAUCAGAACAGAGGUCAAUGAUCUCUGCAUAUAUGUGAAUAUCUAUCUAUCCACACACAUGUGUGUAUGUAUUAUGUAAUUUUUUAAUUUAAAAACAUUCUAAAUAACAAUAAUACAUUUCUUCUUGCUUUUUAAGUAUUGAUAUUUACUCUCCCAUUUAGCUGAAUGCCUUAGGUAGGAUUGUGAGUGUUAAUUUUUAUUCUUCCUCUUCUAGAAGUCAUCUGCCAUGGUUUAAUCCACUUUCUAUGCCAUCAUCAAAGAAAAUCAAAAGUUAUUCUUAAAAAGACUCCUAUCUGCAAUGGAGCUCUCAUCAAACUGACAUUGAACUUGGAUCAUGAGGUGAAGGAACUUCCUACCUUUAAGUAGUCAAGUAGUCGUGACUUUAGGGAGUGACAAAGCCAAGAAUCACCCAAAGAAACUAUUCACAUCAUUCUUUUCUCCCAGAGUAUCCAGAAGUUUAUUUUUUCAGCUCCAUUUGCUGUCCUCAGCUCCAACCCUUCAGGAUUCUUAUCUAAUUCUCCUGAUCUCUCCACUCUGAAACCAGGACUCUUUUACAACGAUAUGAUGCCACUUUAGUUUUGUAUUGUGGAAAUGGUGAGAUCAUUCUAUGAUUAAACCAAUAAAUAAGUCCA